rnacentral:rRNA from 1 species
GGUUGGACAAAAUAUUAUCUGUUUCUAAGGUAUAAUUUGAAUUUGACUUUUAAGUGAAAAGGCUUAAAUAAAAUAAAAAGACGAUAAGACCCUAUAAAUCUUAAUAAAAUUUAUACGGUAAAAAUUAAUUGUACGUGAAUAUUUUUAUCUUAUAAAAUUUAUUUCGCUGGGGCGGCGUAGAUAUUUAGUUUAAACUGUCUAUAAAUUUAGUUCAGUAAUUUCUGAUUAAUAAUUUGAUCCUUUUAGAGAUUAAAAGAUUAAGAUACUUUAGGGAUAACAGCGUUAUUUUUUCUGAGAGUUCUUAUCGAAGAAAAAGUUUGCGACCUCGAUGUUGAAUUAAAGUUUCUUUUUGGUGCAGGAGUU